CAUAAUGACUCUCGGCAACGGAUAUCUCGGCUCUCGCAUCGAUGAAGAACGUAGCGAAAUGCGAUACUUGGUGUGAAUUGCAGAAUCCCGUGAACCAUCGAGUCUUUGAACGCACGUUGCGCCCGAUGCCAUUAGGUUGAGGGUACGUCUGCCUGGGUGUCACA
rnacentral:rRNA from 1 species